ACGGAGGGUGCAAGCGUUGUUCGGAAUCACUGGGCGUAAAGGGCGUGUAGGCGGUCCGCUAAGUCUGAUGUGAAAGCCCGGGGCUCACCCCCGGAAGGGCAUUGGAAACUGGCGGACUCGAGUCCCGGAGAGGAAGGUGGAAUUCCUGGUGUAGCGGUGAAAUGCGUAGAUAUCAGGAGGAAUACCGGUGGCGAAGGCGGCCUUCUGGACGGUGACUGACGCUGAGACGCGAAAGCGUGGGGAGCAAACAGGA
rnacentral:rRNA from 1 species